rnacentral:rRNA from 1 species
UCUGGCGGCAAUAGCGCGGUGGUCCCACCUGACCCCAUGCCGAACUCAGCAGUGAAACGCCGUAGCGCCGAUGGUAGUGUGGGGUCUC